UGAAUGUGCAUAAACUACUUUCAG
rnacentral:siRNA from 1 species